GUUGAAACACCGCUUCCCGUAUGAUCACCGAAGUUAAGUAACUUCGAACCCGGUUAGUACUUAGAUGGGUGACCUCCUGGGAAUAACAGAUGCU